UACGUAGGGUGCGAGCGUUAAUCGGAAUUACUGGGCGUAAAGCGUGCGCAGGCGGUUUUGUAAGACAGGCGUGAAAUCCCCGGGCUCAACCUGGGAAUGGCGCUUGUGACUGCAAAGCUAGAGUGCGGCAGAGGGGGAUGGAAUUCCGCGUGUAGCAGUGAAAUGCGUAGAUAUGCGGAGGAACACCGAUGGCGAAGGCAAUCCCCUGGGCCUGCACUGACGCUCCAUGCACGAAAGCGUGGGGAGCAAACAGG
rnacentral:rRNA from 1 species